UCUUUCUUUCUUUCUUUCCACCCACAUCCAAGAGUACAAGUCUCAUUGCAGCUUCCCUAUCUUUUGCUUUUUGUUUCCCUUCCUCAAUAUCCUGAACCAAUAUUUCCCAGUCAUUUUUAAUUUCAUUUACUUCAUUUUGUGAAUCAAUAAUCUGAACUGAGUUAACAUAGUUGCUCUUAAUGUAUCAGCUUCUGCUUUUAAGCUAACUACUUCUUUAUCCUUUGUCUCUUUUUCUUUUUUUAAUUCUUGUAUUUCUUUUAUUAAUAUAUCUAUUUCUAAAUCUGGGAUACUGGAUGCCUGACCGCAGAAUCUGCCUCCCUCUAGCCUAUGCCUUUGGUGCCCGAUUCUGUUUUCCAUGGGCCCUCUUGCCCUUGUCUCUAUUGAUUUCUAAACUGACCCUUCCACCAGCCCUACUCUAGACUCCCUGAUCUUACUGGGAUGAUCAGCUCCAGCAUCAGUUAAGCUACUGACCCUUCUACCAGUCUCAAACAUUUUCCAGGGCUUCCCAGUUUCUUUUAGGAUUUCAGCUCAGGCAUCAGUAUAACAGUUUCUAACAAAUACUCUUUUUAAAAAAAAUUUAUAACAACAAGGCUCUUACUUACCUUGGGCUCCAAAUCCUUAAUGUGCUUUGUGAAACUGGUUUUUAAGACAAUUCAUUAAGAUAAAGAACAAUAAAAUUUUUACUGCUUGGUGUCACUCGUCCUCUUAUCCAGGGUGUUAUACUUCCCUUAGGCUUCAAAUAGUGCUGUGGGCCCACCCAAGGAUGCCAUGUUGUUACCCCCAAAUUUGGACCUGAAGCACCCCAACAAUGGCCUCCCUGUAACUGUAAACCAGUUAUCAAUUUAUCCCAUCUUAAUGGGUGACAGGAGGUUGCCCGCCCUAGAAGAAUUGCCCAGAUUUUACCAGGGAGUUUGUCUCUGACCCUCUGAGGACUCUCCAGGACACACAUACAGACUUGCAUUGACAUAAUAAAAGGUGUGAAUUAAAGCCAAUUCAGUUAUUUUGGUGGAUAUUUGUGUGUAGAUCAAUCCUAAUAGUCUACUUCUCUGCUACCUCUCCUCUGUUAUACUCCUGACCAUUCUCUCCUGUGUCAAGGUUUUAUGCCUUGUACUAGGAAUUCUAUGUUUGGGAGUGGAUCUCUUUGUAUGCUAUGCCUCCUCUUUGUGGAAUCCUUUUCUUGUAUUGUAUUGCUCCAUGUCUGUUGCUAAGUUUCAACCAAAUCUUAGGACUUUUAUUUGUCCUUCCUAUUUAGACAUAGUUGGUGAAAUCCUGGCUCCACUGAAGUCAAAGGGAGUUUUUCCAUUGACUUCAAUGGAACUAGGCUUUCAUCCAUGUUCUUUUGAGUUUAGUAACUCCAUUUAAAACCCUGGAAGAUAUUCACAUGAAGUAACAGACUGAUGAAAAAUCUUUAAUUUACACAUUUUAAAAAGAGUUACAUUGCAAGUCUAGCACAAUUUUUAAUUCAUAUUUUAUAUAAAUUUAACAAAAUUUUCACAACAGAUAAUACAACACUUUGCAAUUUAGAGCUGGCAUGUUGCAUCUUUUACAACCAUUCAAAUAAUAAAUGUUCCACAGUAGAAUGUAUUAAAAUUAAAGUAAAACAGAAACUGACUUUCUGAGUUUGCCACUCUUAAAAUUUAUUUUUGAAUGAAAGCAAAUGCCACUCACCACAUUUUAAAAAACAAUAUUCUCUCUGGUCAUCUUCAAUAUUCAGCUUCUGAAUUAUUUUAUAUAUAUUUUUAAAGUGUAAUUUUCUUCCAGCGUAAUUAUAACCUUUUUUGUUGUUUUUAUCACCCAGCUGUCUGUGAUCUCAGGCCCUUUGUUAAGGUUGUAAUAGAUUUAUUUCUGCACUUAACUUUCCAUUAGACCUGUGUGUUGUUAUCUCAUCAAGCUUAUGUGCACAAAGCUUUCAUUUGUGAUUUUUAUUGUGUUAUGUUUGGAAACUGGAAAAUUUCAUUCCA